rnacentral:rRNA from 1 species
AUUGAACGCUGGCGGUAUGCUUUACACAUGCAAGUCGAACGGUAACAGGCCUUCGGGUGUUGACGAGUGGCGAACGGGUGAGUAACGCAUCGGUAAGUGCCCAGCGGCGGGGGAUAACGCAGCGAAAGCUGUGCUAAUACCGCAAGUGAACUGUGGAUGAAAUCGGGGGAGCAAGCAGCAAUGUUUGGCCUCGCGGCUGUGGUGCGGCCGAGGCCGGAUUAGGGAGUUGGUGGGGAUAAGGCAUACAGAGCCGACGAUCCGUACCUGGUCUGAGAGGACGAGCAGCCAGACGAGGACUGAGAGACGCCUCAGACUCGAAAGACAGGCAACAGUGGGGAAUUAUGGACAAGGGGGGAAUACUUGAUCCUGCAAUGCCGCGUGCGGGAAGAAGGCCUUGUGGUUGAUGACCGCUUUUGGGCGGUACGAAAAUGUUCAGUCUAAUACCGGUGUUUGAUGACGGUACCGGAAGAAGAAGCACCGGCUAACUACGUG